ACCCGUUACUAUUGCCGCUUUCGUUCGGUUACUAUAUUCAUAAAACCAAUUGUUUUGUUUACGAACCGUUCUAUUUCGAACACCAAUUGUUUGUAAUUUAACCGUGCAUCACUAUAACGAAUUGUUGUUUAAGAUAGGAACUGAGCUAACCGUUUCUAUAUUUAAAAAUCAUCGCACGCUUAUGUCACGUUAAAAAUUUAACGGUUUGUAGCGAAACGAAUCGUUUUCUGAAUAUUGUAACCCUGCCUAAGUCUCCGUUCCUAUACUCAAAAACAACUAAUGAUUAAGUCGGGUUCUAAAUUUAACGACUCGUAAGCAAAAACAAUCGUUUUGUAUACAGGAACCGGGUUUAGAGAUAGAGAUUUAAGAUUUUAAGAUACAUACAUUACAAGACAUUUAAUUUAUCUAAAUAGCAAAUAAUUGGACUCAUAUUAUUGCUUAAAAAUUAAUACCUAGGAAGACGAGUCUGAUACGUUUAUCUUAAUAUAUAAUUACAUUUAUUUGCUUUAUAUGUAAAGAGAACUGUUUUAUACAAGGCCGUCAAGGCCUGUCUGAUUUACAUACUUUUUAAUUAUUGAAAGACUGUCAAAUGUCAAAUCUGACGUUUGAGUUUUUCUUCAUCUUUUAUAAUUGGACUCCUAUAGGAAUUGGCAAAGUCAGAGUGUUUUCCCUGAAUUACUUUUGAAGACUCUGCUUAUAAGAUUAGCGUUGUGAUAUACUACAAGGUUAUGUACGGUUUGCUUCACACCACUUAUUCGUGUAGACGUUUGAGUUUGUCAGUUGUUGGUGCAAUUUAAAUUUAACGUCAAUGAUGUUUAGCACACAAAUGAUUUAAAAUCAGUUUUUUAUUAUUCAAACGAAUAUUUUUUGAGCGGCCGGGCUUAGUUGGAGGGACGUGGAGCGAGAGGCACAGGACAGGAGCGGAUGGAGACGUCUCACGAGGGCCCUUUGUACCACUGGGGUACCUUAGGACAGCAACACAACACACAUAUUGGUACGCUUAUAAAUUUCGAAUGACGAUUGAAUCAAAAUGGCGACAAUUGGAUCAAAUUAGAUUUUUGACAAGGUUUAUAUAAAAGACAUAUGGCUUUACGAAUCUAUAUAAGAUUUGCUGACCCAGCCGAAUAAAAAUGAGUCAUAAAAUGGGUACCCUAACGCUAAACUUAAUAAACUGCUGGAUAAAUUCUACCUGUGUUUAGUUCUCUAAAACUUUGUUGAUGGUUCUUAUGUAAUUUAAAAAAAUAAUAAUAAUAAUAA
rnacentral:misc_RNA from 1 species